GAUGAACGCUGGCGGCGUGCCUAAUACAUGCAAGUCGAGCGAACAGACGAGGAGCUUGCUCCUCUGACGUUAGCGGCGGACGGGUGAGUAACACGUGGAUAACCUACCUAUAAGACUGGGAUAACUUCGGGAAACCGGAGCUAAUACCGGAUCAUAUAUUGAACCGCAUGGUUCAAUAGUGAAAGACGGUUUUGCUGUCACUUAUAGAUGGAUCCGCGCCGCAUUAGCUAGUUGGUAAGGUAACGGCUUACCAAGGCAACGAUGCGUAGCCGACCUGAGAGGGUGAUCGGCCACACUGGAACUGAGACACGGUCCAGACGCCUACGGGAGGCAGCAGUAGGGAAUCUUCCGCAAUGGGCGAAAGCCUGACGGAGCAACGCCGCGUGAGUGAUGAAGGUCUUCGGAUCGUAAAGCUCUGUUAUUAGGGAAGAACAAAUGUGUAAGUAACUAUGCACGUCUUGACGGUACCUAAUCAGAAAGCCACGGCUAACUACGUG
rnacentral:rRNA from 1 species